rnacentral:rRNA from 1 species
AGAUUGAACGCUGGCGGCAUGCUUUACACAUGCAAGUCGAACGGUAACAGGCCGCAAGGUGCUGACGAGUGGCGAACGGGUGAGUAAUGUAUCGGAACGUGCCCAGUCGUGGGGGAUAACGCAGCGAAAGCUGCGCUAAUACCGCAUACGAUCUAUGGAUGAAAGCGGGGGACCGUAAGGCCUCGCGCGAUUGGAGCGGCCGAUAUCAGAUUAGGUAGUUGGUGGGGUAAAGGCUCACCAAGCCAACGAUCUGUAGCUGGUCUGAGAGGACGACCAGCCACACUGGGACUGAGACACGG